rnacentral:rRNA from 1 species
UACGUAGGGGGCGAGCGUUGUCCGGAAUUAUUGGGCGUAAAGCGCGUGCAGGCGGUUUGUUAAGGUCGUGGUGAAAGACCGGGGCUCAACCCCGGAGCGUCCGCGAAGACUGGCAGACUGGAGUGUCGGAGAGGAGUGCGGAAUACCUGGUGUAGCGGUGGAAUGCGUAGAGAUCAGGUGGAACACCGAUGGCGAAGGCAGCACUCUGGCCGAAUACUGACGCUGAGACGCGAAAGCGUGGGGAGCGAACGGG